UUCGAGUGGCGGACGGGUGAGUAACGCGUGGGUAACCUGCCUUACACAGGGGGAUAACACCUGGAAACAGGUGCUAAUACCGCAUAAGCGCACAGGGCCGCAUGGCCCGGUGUGAAAAACUCCGGUGGUGUAAGAUGGACCCGCGUCUGAUUAGCUUGUUGGCGGGGUAGAGGCCCACCAAGGCGACGAUCAGUAGCCGGCCUGAGAGGGUGGACGGCACAUUGGGACUGAGACACGGCCCAAACUCCUACGGAAGGCAGCAG
rnacentral:rRNA from 1 species